GUGGGGAAUAUUGGACAAUGGGCGAAAGCCUGAUCCAGCCAUGCCGCGUGUGUGAAGAAGGUCUUCGGAUUGUAAAGCACUUUAAGUUGGGAGGAAGGGCAGUAAGUUAAUACCUUGCUGUUUUGACGUUACCGACAGAAUAAGCACCGGCUAACUUCGGGCCAGCAGCCGCGGUAAUACGAAGGGUGCAAGCGUUAAUCGGAAUUACUGGGCGUAAAGCGCGCGUAGGUGGUUUUGUAAGUUGGAGGUGAAAUCCCCGGGCUCAACCUGGGAACUGCCUCCAAAACUGCAUGACUCGAGUACGGUAGAGGGUAGUGGAAUUUCCUGUGUAGCGGUGAAAUGCGUAGAUAUAGGAAGGAACACCAGUGGCGAAGGCGACUACCUGGACUGAUACUGACACUGAGGUGCGAAAGCGUGGGGAGCAAACAGGAUUAGAAACCCUGGUAGUCC
rnacentral:rRNA from 1 species